rnacentral:piRNA from 1 species
GUAGGACUGAUUUCUAGAUAGGU